ACAGGAACAAAACGUGUCCGACGUCUUGUCCUGGUUCAUGUAGGGCGGAAUGUUACGCAAACACUCUGUAUGGCUCAGGACGAUACGUCUGGCUCGUCCAACCA